rnacentral:rRNA from 1 species
AUACGGAGGAUGCGAGCGUUAUCCGGAUUUAUUGGGUUUAAAGGGAGCGUAGGUGGGAUAUUAAGUCAGCUGUGAAAGUUUGGGGCUCAACCUUAAAAUUGCAGUUGAUACUGGUUUCCUUGAGUACGGUACAGGUGGGCGGAAUUCGUGGUGUAGCGGUGAAAUGCUUAGAUAUCACGAAGAACUCCGAUCGCGAAGGCAGCUCACCGGGCCGGAACUGACACUGAUGCUCGAAAGUGCGGGUAUCAAACAGGAUUAGAUACCCUGGUAGUCCGCACAGUAAACGAUGAAUACUCGCUGUUUGCGAUACACGGUAAGCGGCCAAGCGAAAGCGUUAAGUAUUCCACCUGGGGAGUACGCCGGCAACGGUGAAACUUAAAGGAAUGGACGGGG